rnacentral:tRNA from 1 species
GCCCUCGUAGCUCAGCUGGAUAGAGCAACGGCCUUCUAAGCCGUAGGUCAUGGGUUCGAAUCCCGUCGAGGGUACCC